UGAUAUUUACCAUUAGAUUUCUUCCUAUGCUCAUUUGAGCAGUGUUAUUUCUCAUGUGCUAUAUAAUAGUUGAAGGCUUACUGGCAGUAUGACUCCACAGUGAUACUGCCAGUCUCCUUCAGACAGUU